rnacentral:rRNA from 1 species
UACAGAGGCCUCGAGCGUUAGGCGGAAUCACUGGGCUUAAAGCGUGUGUAGGCGGACUUCUAAGUACCUUGUGAAAUCCCACGGCUCACCCGUGGAACUGCUCGGUAUACUGGUUGUCUUGAGCCUUCUAGGGGCGAGUGGAACAAAUGGUGGAGCGGUGAAAUGCGUAGAUAUUAUUUGGAACGCCAAUGGUGAAAACAACUCGCUGGGGAAGUGCUGACGCGUGAGAACACGGAAAGCCAGGGGAGCGAACGGG